rnacentral:rRNA from 1 species
GCUAGUUGUAUUAUUAGUUAAUGCAAGAUCGACUACGUCGACUAAAGUUCUAGGUAGAAUAAUGAUGAUGACAAUUUUUUACCUAUAUGUCUUGACCAAGUCUCGUGCCAGCAGUCGCGGUAAUACGUGGAAGACUAGUGUUAUUCAUCUUUAUUAGGUUUAAAGGGUACCUAGACGGUAUUUCUAGCCCAAAAUAGGGUACGGAUUUACUAGAGUUUUAUGUGAGGAGGGGAGUACUCGUAGAGUAGAGAUGAAAUUUUGUUAUACUAUGAGGUAACUGGUGGCGGCGAAAGCAACCUUCUAUGUAUAAACUGACGUUGAGGGACGAAGGCUUGGGUAGCAAAUAGGAUUAGAUACCCUAGUAGUCCAAGCAGACAAUUCUGAAUGCCAUAGAUUAGAUUAUUUUUGGUCUAUAAAUGAAAGUGUAAGCAUUCCACCUUAGGAGUAAUGUGGCAACACAGGAACUGAAAUCAUUAGACCGUUUCUGAAACCAGUAGUGAAGUAUGUUAUUUAAAUUGAUGGUCCACAAAAAACCUUACCACAACUUGAAUAUUUUUAAUUAAUAACAGCGUUGC